AAUUUGAAUGGAAUGCAGUCACUGGAUGAGGGUACAGAGAAUCCCUGAGCAGAAUCCUGGGUGUUUGUUUCUUUCCUGUGGUCCUGCCCUGCCCAGGCCUCUGAGAAAUGCAGAGCCUUUCCUCUCCCCAUCCCUCCCUCUCCCUCAGAGGUGAUUUUGAAAGGUCUCAGCUUCUUAUGCAUACCCCUUGGGGUCAGGAGAUUAUUUUUUUGACAUUUGCCUUCUGGCAGAGCUGGGACCAAUGAGUGGGAGGUGGAUUUUGGCGGAACACAGGAGGAAUUCUCUUAGUCAGAGCCAUCCAAAAAUGGAAAGACCUGACUCAGAAGACAGCGUGUCCCCUGCCUGCAUAAGGUCCUGGUGAGGUCCUGUCAAGGGUGCUCUGCCCUGUGCUUUGACAGGUGUGUGCGGAGAUGAAAGUUUCAGGAAUCUGUCCCAGAUUUCUCCCUGGGCUGAGUUCUUGCCUUGGUCACCUGCCCAGGACUGCAGUUUCUCUGAUACCACCUCAGGGGAGGGGCAGGACCUAGACCCUCAGAAUCUGGCCUUGAAGCCUGGAUACAUCUGGGGAGCUGCUCACGCUUCUCAGCUGCAUUUGCCUUGGUUGAGGAUGGGAAGAAGAUGCCUCCUUCCAAAGAUUGCCGUGAAGAUGGCGAUGCGAUAAUGUGAAAUCGCUGUGCGCGCGGCUGGACUCUAUCAAUCAUGGUUGUCUUCCCACCUUUGCCACAGACUGAAGGUCCCUUCCUGAGCUCAGCCUGUUGGCAUUCAGUCCCUGGGGCUGAACCUGGGCGAGCCAGGUGCCUCCUGCAAAAAGAGACAGUUCAACAAAGUGCAAGGAGGAAAGCUCUUCUGUACCACCAUGCCCUGUGGAGGGUACCGUGUGCAAGGACUAUCAGAGAGGUUCAGGACUGCCCUUCGGUUGAGCUCAGUGACUCUUUGUUCUUUGUUUUGUUUUGUUUAGUUUUUUGAGACAGGGUCUCACUCUUGCCCAGGCUACAGUGCAGUGGUGUGAUCUCGGCUCACUGCAACCUCUGCCUCCCAGGUUCAAGCCAUUCUCCUGUCUCAGUCUCCUGAGUAGCUGGGAUUACAGGCAUGCGCUACAACACUUGGCUAAUUUUUGUAUUUUUAGUAGAGACGGGGUUUCGCCAUAUUGACCAGGCUGGUCUCGAACUCCUGACCUCAGGUGAUCCGCCCACCUCGGCCUCCCAAAGUGCUGGGAUUACAGGCAUGAGCCACCAGGCCUGGCCUCAGCGACUCUUUGAACCAGCGUCUGAGUCAGGAAACAAGGGUACCACUAGGCUCCAGGACCUGCUCUGUCUGUAAAAUGAGAAGCAACUAGAAUAUCCCUAAAACUCCUCUUAGCUAUAAAAUGUUCUGAUUCAUGACCAAGGGAAGAAAGAAAAUGUGUAUGUAACCAAAUAAAAAUACUUUCUGAUGUGAGCCAAGGAAGGGGACAGAAGUAUUUGGCUUCCUCAUUCAGCCCCACCCUAUAGAAAGUUCUGGCUCUGGCAUGAAGACACACUGGUCUGGUUUCCUCUCGCUUUUAUUUCACAAGAGCCCCCAAAUAUGACAUUUACGAAUGCUCUGAUAGUAGAUCCUAUUCAGGUGAUUGGCCUGGAGGCUGAAACUUUACACAACAGCUUCCCCUGGGGCCUGGCAAUCUUAAGGAUUGGUGAAACUUUCAGCUAAGAGUAAA
rnacentral:lncRNA from 1 species